rnacentral:rRNA from 1 species
GACGAUCAGAUACCGUCGUAGUCUUAACUAUAAACGAUACAAACCAGAGAUAGGACACUGUCCAUCUCGACUCCUUCUGGAUCUCGGAGAAAUUAAAGUCUUUGGGUUCUGGGGGGAGUAUGGUCGCAAGGCUGAAACUUAAAGGAAUUGACGGAAGGGCACACAAAGAGUGGAACCUGCGGCUUAAUUUGACUCAACACGGGAAAACCCACCAGGUCCGGAUGCACGGAUGAAAGUCAAGCUGAAAGACUUUACUCAAUGAUGUAAGUGGUGGUGCAUGGUCGUUCGUGGUUCGUGGAUUGAUUUGUCUGGUUAAUUCCGAUAACGAGCGAGACCCUAUCGUUCCUAAUAGGGGGCUGCAGCCAAACUGGUCGAGAGAUCGGUUAGCUACGGCUUAAGAUGAACUUCUUAGACGUAUCAGAGCCGAUAAGGUUCUUGAAAUGGGUUAAUAACAGGUCAGUCGUGCCCUUAGAUGUUCUGGGCCGCACGCGCGUUACAAUGGCACGUA